GACGAACGCUGUUUGCGUGCUUAACACAUGCAAGUCGAACGGAAAGGCCCUGCUUUUGUGGGGUGCUCGAGUGGCGAACGGGUGAGUAACACGUGAGUAACCUGCCCUUGACUUUGGGAUAACCUCAGGAAACUGGGGCUAAUACCGGAUAGGAGCUCCUGCUGCAUGGUGGGGGUUGGAAAGUUUCGGCGGUUGGGGAUGGACUCGCGGCUUAUCAGCUUGUUGGUGGGGUAGUGGCUUACCAAGGCUUUGACGGGUAGCCGGCCUGAGAGGGUGACCGGCCACAUUGGGACUGAGAUACGGCCCAGACUCCUACGGGAGGCAGCAGUGGGGAAUAUUGCACAAUGGGCGGAAGCCUGAUGCAGCAACGCCGCGUGCGGGAUGACGGCCUUCGGGUUGUAAACCGCUUUCGCCUGUGACGAAGCGUGAGUGACGGUAAUGGGUAAAGAAGCACCGGCUAACUACGUGCCAGCAGCCGCGGUGAUACGUAGGGUGCGAGCGUUGUCCGGAUUUAUUGGGCGUAAAGGGCUCGUAGGUGGUUGAUCGCGUCGGAAGUGUAAUCUUGGGGCUUAACCCUGAGCGUGCUUUCGAUACGGGUUGACUUGAGGAAGGUAGGGGAGAAUGGAAUUCCUGGUGGAGCGGUGGAAUGCGCAGAUAUCAGGAGGAACACCAGUGGCGAAGGCGGUUCUCUGGGCCUUUCCUGACGCUGAGGAGCGAAAGCGUGGGGAGCGAACAGGCUUAGAUACCCUGGUAGUCCACGCUGUAAACGGUGGGUACUAGGUGUGGGGUCCAUUCCACGGGUUCCGUGCCGUAGCUAACGCUUUAAGUACCCCGCCUGGGGAGUACGGCCGCAAGGCUAAAACUCAAAGGAAUUGACGGGGCCCCGCACAAGCGGCGGAGCAUGCGGAUUAAUUCGAUGCAACGCGUAGAACCUUACCUGGGUUUGACAUGGAUCGGGAGUGCUCAGAGAUGGGUGUGCCUCUUUUGGGGUCGGUUCACAGGUGGUGCAUGGCUGUCGUCAGCUCGUGUCGUGAGAUGUUGGGUUAAGUCCCGCAACGAGCGCAACCCUUGUUCACUGUUGCCAGCACGUUAUGGUGGGGACUCAGUGGAGACCGCCGGGGUCAACUCGGAGGAAGGUGGGGAUGACGUCAAGUCAUCAUGCCCCUUAUGUCCAGGGCUUCACGCAUGCUACAAUGGCUGGUACAGAGAGUGGCGAGCCUGUGAGGGUGAGCGAAUCUCGGAAAGCCGGUCUCAGUUCGGAUUGGGGUCUGCAACUCGACCUCAUGAAGUCGGAGUCGCUAGUAAUCGCAGAUCAGCAACGCUGCGGUGAAUACGUUCCCGGGGCU
rnacentral:rRNA from 1 species